CUCAUUCAUCAUUAUCAAUCAUUUUUCUAACAUCCAAUCUAAACAAUUUUAAGAAAGUAAAUCCAGGGGCUCCAUCCCUGAGCAGCUGGAAAUGGUUGGAGGAGGGAAAUCACUCAGGGGAAACAGCUGCUGGGGUUUAUAAAAGCAGGAAGAGCAGCAGGGCUGGAGGUUUCCUUGUCCCAGAAAGUGAUUCCUGUGAGGAAUCUGUUUAUCUUCUCUUCUUCAGCCCAUCCAACUGCUGGAACCAGGGCAAGAAAUUUUCUGUCCACUAUCCAAGAGGAGUAGCCUCGUGUGUACCCUGCACAGUGACCUUUCUCUUCAGCAUCAACUUUACAGAGCUCAUUUCCCUGCCAGGCUGACAGGGAAAGAGGAAGAUCCUUGGCCUGCAAAUAUUUGCUGCUUUUCCUGCAAAACACUGAAGAUCUCCAGCACUUCAGAGUUGGGAAACAUUGAGGUUUUUUUGAGGAUUGCAGGAAUGUUUGGAUUAUUUGCCUCUCCAGGGAUUUUUUUUAAUAGGAGUGUUUCCUUGCUGAGGUCAUAUAAACUCACAGGACAAUAUCCUUAAUUUUCCAACGUCUUUUGGAAUCAGAGGAUUCCAACUGAGGCAGAAGGUGACUUUAAAUGGAGACAGGGAAUGUUUUAGCAAACUGGAAGCUAUUUUCAUUGCAAAUUGCUGGUUGCUCCCACAGGAAACAGGGACAUAAUCUGGUCAUGUAUUAGAGACCUCUGCUGACAGGGAACAAUCCCAGGGGCAGGGUGACAGCUCCAUGCCCAGGAUGGAAAAUCCCUGCUUUAUUCCUGGGCUGAGUUGAGAAUUUGCAUCUUGGAGCAUUGAGAAAGACAAGAAAAUCAUCACUGAGCUCAGAGCAACCUCCAGCCCCAAACCCUUCUGUCUCCACCCCAAGGGAGCGGGAGGUGGAAGGAAACAAAGUCUGGAUGCUCGGGAUCCAAGGGGAUCCAGCAGCACUGGUUUUACUGGGAUUUUCUCACAGGAAUGUCUGAGGGUUGUCUUCACAUCUGGCCUUCUGCAGCCCUCUGGUUCCACAGGUUUGGAGCCUGCAGAGCUCAGCAAAUCCCACUUGAAAUGGUGAAUUUCCAGUUGGAAAUCCCUGGGGACACAGGCUGGUUGCAGUAGGGACUUCACUAAUGGCUAAUUAAUUGUGGAAACACAUUAACAGUUGAUAGGCAGAGGGUGGCAGGAAUAACAAUUAAAGGUAAAUUAUCAGCCACAGCUCUGAGCAAGCCCAAAUUGAGAAACACUGAUUUAAUCUCUGCUGAGAGGCACCUGGGCACAGCCUGCCCUGCAAAACUGCUGGGGAAACUUCUGUGCUGCCAAAUUAAGGAACAAUUCCACGUUGGGUUUUGUCCUGUUUUUCUUAUUUUUCUCUAAUCCCUGUUUUAAAACUAAAGCAAACCCCCCAGCACUAUCGGUUAUCUUGCCACAGGAAGAUGCUUUGUGAUUAUCACACAUCCCUCAUGUUUAUUUAGCUCAAUAAACAACACAAAGGCAGCUUGUAGGAAAUGAAU
rnacentral:lncRNA from 1 species